AGUGUAGAGGGCCCAAUCUAAAAAUUAUAGGAAACCACUUUCCAUAACUUGUUAUAUAGCCAUUUACUCUAAUAUAUUACUGAUUAGAUUAUAUGUCCCACAAUAUAUAAACCAUGACUUUGUUCUUUUUAUGAUAUUAGGAUUUUGAUUAUGCUCAGGAAGUUGUUCUUUAAUCCGGCACUUUGUCUUGCUUAAAUCACUGUUAUCUGUGAACUAGGCAAAAGCAUUCUCAAUAUAGAUUAUAUAUAAUGAAGAAAACUUUUCAUAAAAAUUACCCACUAGAAACAAGACUGGGGAAGAAUUAAACAUAGUUCCUUUCUAAAGAAGUUGCAAGUUGCGUUUUGAAAUGCUUUCGGGGUGGGGGGCGGGGAUGAAAGCCCACAUGCAGCUUUGGACUGAAGAUCUAUUAAGUCACAAGUAAUUUACUAAGUUUCCAUACAUAACAAAAAGUAAGUGGCAGUAUGAUCUCAUUUUCACCAAG